GAUGAACGCUAGCUACAGGCUUAACACAUGCAAGUCGAGGGGUAACAAGAGGAAAGCUUGCUUUUCUUGUUGACGACCGGCGCACGGGUGAGUAACGCGUAUCCAACCUGCCUAUAACUAGGGAAUAACCUUGCGAAAGUAAGACUAAUACCCUAUGAUUUCCUUUGAUGACAUCAGAUUAGGAAUAAAGAUUUAUCGGUUAUAGAUGGGGAUGCGUCUGAUUAGCUUGUUGGCGGGGUAACGGCCCACCAAGGCAACGAUCAGUAGGGGUUCUGAGAGGAAGGUCCCCCACAUUGGAACUGAGACACGGUCCAAACUCCUACGGGGGGCAGCAGUGAGGAAUAUUGGUCAAUGGGCGGAAGCCUGAACCAGCCAAGUAGCGUGCAGGAUGACGGCCCUAUGGGUUGUAAACUGCUUUUAUACAGGAAUAAAGUUAGCCACGUGUGGUUAUGUGUAGGUACUGUAUGAAUAAGGACCGGCUAAUUCCGUGCCAGCCGCCGCGGUAA
rnacentral:rRNA from 1 species